GGGCUGGUGGCGCAGCGGUUAGCGCAGGGGAUUGCAGCUAUGUUUCUUCACAACUUCGAAGUGAUAUAUUAUCCCAAGGUCCCCGGUUCAAUUCCGGGUCAGCCCU
rfam:Microsporum canis CBS 113480 supercont1.4 genomic scaffold, whole genome shotgun sequence.